AUCUUCGGCAAUGGGCGCAAGCCUGACCGAGCGACGCCGCGUGCGGGAUGAAGGCCUUCGGGUUGUAAACCGCUGUCGUAGAGGAGGAAAUGCAGGGGGGUUCUCCCUUCUGUUUGACCUAUUCUAGGAGGAAGUACGGGCUAAGUUCGUGCCAGCAGCCGCGGUAAGACGAACCGUACAAACGUUACUCGGAAUUACUGGGCUUAAAGGGUGCGUAGGCUGCGCGGAAAGUUGGGUGUGAAAGCCCUCAGCUCAACUGGGGAAUUGCAUUCAAAACUACCGUGCUCGAGGGAGACAGAGGUAAGCGGAACUCAAGGUGGAGCGGUGAAAUGCGUUGAUAUCUUGAGGAACACCGGUGGCGAAGGCGGCUUACUGGGUCUCUUCUGACGCUGAGGCACGAAAGCUAAGGUAGCAAACGGGAUUGGAUACCCCGGUAGUCUUAGCUGUAAACGAUGAGCACUUGUUUGAAGGGUCCUCCAUAGCCUUUCAGACGUAGCGAAAGUGUUAAGUGCUCCGCCUGGGGAGUAUGGUCGCAAGGCUGAAACUCAAAGAAA
rnacentral:rRNA from 1 species